rnacentral:lncRNA from 1 species
AAUUUUUAGUAAUUCCUGUUCAGAUUACCUGAUUUGGAGAAAAGGCACGAAUUUAAGAUGCUAGCAUGGCACCGGAUCUGUUAACAUCCAUUUUAGUUAUGUGCCAUAAUUAUCUAUGCAGUUACUUGCGUUCUUAGGCGGCCACCCGGUACAGAGCUUAAUCUUAUAAACACACUUUCAUAAACAUAGAUUUCACGGCUGCCAAUGUAAUAAGUUCCAAACUUGUUCCGGAUUUAAAAUCCCCGCUCUGUAUAUACUUAACUAUUUUAAUGUCAAAUUUGACAAUAUUUCCCUAUACAUCUUUAAAGGAGCACAACUCAAGAUUUUAGAAAUUGUAUCUUAGAUUUUUUUUAAUAUGAAGGAGACAGGUAAUA